rnacentral:lncRNA from 1 species
AAAAGAUGAACAUCAUAUAUAAAAUAAAAGAUUAACUAAGUUCAUGAGUUAUAGAAAACUUUAACUAGUUCACUGAACUAAAGUCAUCACCUCUCUUUUUCUUUCUCUCCUAUUCCAUUUUUCAACUAAAUCCAACGGAUUGGGUCCCACUUUCGCCCUUGUCACGUGCACACCCCACCUCUCACGUGCCUAUACUCUUCUCUAUACUCGAUAUAUAUAUAGUCCAUGCUACAACUGUAUACUAUUCUCUUAAUUACUUCGAUUCUCAUCUGUCUGCCACUGCAGCCUUUCUGCUAUUUCCACUUAAACCCCAU